rnacentral:misc_RNA from 1 species
GAUGAAGAACGCAGCGAAAUGCGAUAAGUAAUGUGAAUUGCAGAAUUCAGUGAAUCAUCGAAUCUUUGAACGCAUCUUGCGCUCCUUGGUAUUCUGAGGAGCAUGCCUGUUUGAGUGUCAUUGAAUUCUCAACCGCACUGACUUUGAAUUGGUGUGGCUUGGAUUUGGGGGGAAAAUUGUUGUGGGCUUUUUUGUAUAGUCUGCUCCCCUGAAAUUGAUUAGCGGUACCUUUGUGGAACUGUCUACAGGUGUGAUAAUUAUCUACAUCCUAGACAUCUGCUGGAAUGCUGCUUUCUAAACCUUACUUGUAUUGACAAUCUUGACCUCAAAUCAGGUAGGACUACCCGCUGAACUUAAGCAUAUCAAUAAGCGGAGGA